CACACAGCCUCUCGACCAAUCGCAUCAGGAGAGAUUUCUCGAAUGCAGGCGCUGGUCUUCCUGGGAGGGCAGCUCUCGCUUGCACUUGGGGUUCUUUUGUGUCUCAACUAUUACAGGAUAAGGAGGAUGACAUCAAAGUAGGAGUCAAAUCUACUGCACUGAGGUUCCAGGAGUAAACCAAACCCUGGCUGAGUGGCUUCGUUGUGGCCAUGAUGUCUGGACUGGUAUUAGCUGGGGUCAAUGCUGAACAGACUCUCCCUUACUAUGCUGUACUCACCGGUGUAGCAAUGCACCUGACAAACCAGAUUUACACAUUAGACAUCAACAAACCAGAAGACUGCUGGAAAAAGUUUGUUUCAAACAGAAACCUUGGACUGUUGUUGUUUUUAGGUAUUGUUGUCGGGAAUUUGUGGAAAGAAUAAAGACAGACUCUGAAGAAAUGAACAAGCCUUCAUAUAAUUAGAGACGAUGUUUUAUUA